GCUGUAGGAACGCAGACUAAAGGCGCCACGUCCUGUGGCAACGUCUGCAUGACCUGCAUCCUGCAGG
rnacentral:sRNA from 1 species